rnacentral:rRNA from 1 species
UUUAUGGAGAGUUUGAUCCUGGCUCAGGAUGAACGCUGGCGGCGUGCCUAAUACAUGCAAGUCGAGCGAACAGAUAAGGAGCUUGCUCCUUUGACGUUAGCGGCGGACGGGUGAGUAACACGUGGGUAACCUACCUAUAAGACUGGAAUAACUCCGGGAAACCGGGGCUAAUGCCGGAUAACAUGUUGAACCGCAUGGUUCUACAGUGAAAGACGGUCUUGCUGUCACUUAUAGAUGGACCCGCGCCGUAUUAGCUAGUUGGUGGGGUAACGGCUUACCAAGGCGACGAUACGUAGCCGACCUGAGAGGGUGAUCGGCCACACUGGAACUGAGACACGGUCCAGACUCCUACGGGAGGCAGCAGUAGGGAAUCUUCCGCAAUGGGCGAAAGCCUGACGGAGCAACGCCGCGUGAGUGAUGAAGGUCUUCGGAUCGUAAAGCUCUGUUGUUAGGGAAGAACAAAUGCGUAA